CAGUAGCCGCGGUAAUACGUAGGGCGCAAGCGUUGUCCGGAAUUAUUGGGCGUAAAGAGCUCGUAGGCGGUCUGUCGCGUCUGGUGUGAAAUCCCGAGGCUCAACCUCGGGCUUGCAUCGGGUACGGGCAGACUAGAGUGCGGUAGGGGAGACUGGAAUUCCUGGUGUAGCGGUGGAAUGCGCAGAUAUCAGGAGGAACACCGAUGGCGAAGGCAGGUCUCUGGGCCGCAACUGACGCUGAGGAGCGAAAGCAUGGGGAGCAAACAGGAUUAGAUACCCCAGUAGUCCCUGUCUCUUAUAC
rnacentral:rRNA from 1 species